rnacentral:rRNA from 1 species
AUUGAACGCUGGCGGCAGGCUUAACACAUGCAAGUCGAGCGGGGUGAUGGUGCUUGCACUAUCACUUAGCGGCGGACGGGUGAGUAAUGCUUAGAAAUCUGCCUAUUAGUGGGGGACAACAUCUCGAAAGGGAUGCUAAUACCGCAUACGUCCUACGGGAGAAAGCAGGGGAUCACUUGUGACCUUUCGCUAAUAGAUGAGCCUAAGUCGUGAUUAGCUAGUUGGUGGGGUAAAGGCCUACCAAGGCGUCGAUCUGUAGCGGGUCUGAGAGGAUGAUCCGCCACACGGGGACUGCGACACGGCCCAGACUCCUACGGGAGGCAGCAGUGGGGAAUAUUGGACAAUGGGGGGAACCCUGAUCCAGCCAUGCCGCGUGUGUGUAGAAGGCGUUAUGGUUGUAAAGCACUUUAAGCGAGGAGGAGGCUCUUUUGGUUAAUACCCAAGAUGAGUGGACGUUACUCGCAGAAUAAGCACCGGCUAACUCUGUGCCAGCCGCCGCCGUAA